GGGGCUGACUGGAUUUGACAGCAAGGAAGUGGUACUGUAAGCAUGCCGGGCAUUAUAGAUGUGGCCCGUAAAAACUAUCUUAAAGCCUAUAACUGGCAAUUCAAAUUACGCUCUCGCAGCCUAAUCGAAGUUUAGUAGAUUAUGCUUAAUCCAGGCUCAAGGAGCCUUGACGGGACGCUCCGCAGGCGGACCUGCCCUGUUCCUGCCUGAUCUCGGGGUGAAGCAAUUCGGGGAUAGUCAUUUGCAGGCUUCGGGCAGAUGAUGAAAUUAAGAAGCUAAGGUCUGGGUUGGGUGUUUGUCCCCUGCCCUCUCCCGACAACCAAUGACAACCUAAGCAUGUAGAAAGCUUUAUUGCUGCUUGUUUGGACCAGGGUUCGAUUCCCUGCAGCUCCACGA
rnacentral:tmRNA from 1 species